GGUGUGGUCGAGUAUGCUGGUCG
rnacentral:siRNA from 1 species